rnacentral:rRNA from 1 species
UACGUAGGCAGCGAGCGUUGUUCGGAGUUAUUGGGCGUAAAGAGCGUGUAGGCGGCCAUACAGGUCCGUUGUGAAAACUGGAGGCUUAACCUCCAGACGUCGAUGGAAACCGUAUGGCUAGAGUCCGGAAGAGGAGAGUGGAAUUCCAGGUGUAGCGGUGAAAUGCGUAGAUAUCGAGAGGAACACCUGCGGCGAAGGCGGGUUGCUGGGCCGACACUGACGCUGAUGCGCGAAAGCCAGGGGAGCGAAGCGGG